GUAGGGUUUCUUCGAAUCCGAGAUCUAUGGUUCCUUCCUUCCUUGCUCCCUCUUUGUUCUUCUCCUUGGCGGUCUCGGUUUCACCAGGGGAGGGGAAGAUGUCGUUUGGGUUGCCGGCGUACGGCCUCCAGGAGAUGCUGAAGGAAGGGCACGAGCACCUCCCGGGGCUCGACGAGGCCGUCCUCAGGAACAUCGACGCCUGAAAGUAGCUUUCCUACAUCGCCCGCACCUCCCUCGGUCCCAACGGUAAGAACAAAACAAGUGAUGCUGCCACAAUAGCGGAUGAGCUUGAGGUCCAGCAUCCUGUUGCAAAGAUUUUGGUGCUAGCAGGAAAGGCCCAGCGGGAGGAGAUUGGUGAUCGGGCCACACCCUAGUGAAAUAAUAAGUGGUUAUACGAAAGCAAUUAAUAAGAUCAUAAAGGCCAAGUCAGCAGGUGGGCCAAAAAGAGAUCAACCGACUAGCAUGGAUGAGGUUUAACUUCUUCUUGGAUUUUUUAAGAGCAUUGUUACUGACAAUGCUGCAGCUAAAAGAGUUGUAUCUGUUUUUAGCCAUGCAACGGAUAUCUGAGCAAGUUCAGCUACAGAAGCCAGUGGCUUUGUGGCACUAGUAAUUGCUUUCGAGGGAAGAUUUGCAGUUCUCUGAAUCUGGUGCACUGGUUUUGAACAUCAGAACAUUUCAUUGUUCUCAAUCAGAAGGUUUCAUGCACGAGUUUCCUGAAUUGUUCAUACGAUGUAAUCGUGCCAGCUUAGGGUUGCGACACCGUAUUGUGCUGGCUGUCAUCAGUAUCAAAGUAUCAUUCUUAGCAAUGUUGUAUUAGUCAAAUAAAAUUAGGGUUUUUUGUUUGCAACUAUGUAGGAUAAAUCAUAGUGUUCUUUGUAUUGUAGGUUUGACAGUUUUGAAAAUUUUGAAGCAAUAUGAAUUUGUACUUAAAAUGUGAUCUAUU